rnacentral:rRNA from 1 species
UAGGGAAUCUUCGGCAAUGGGGGGAACCCUGACCGAGCAACGCCUCGUGAGUGAAGAAGUUUUUCGGAUCGUAAAGCUCUGUUGUUAAGGAAGAACGAGUGUGAGAAUGGAAAGUUCAUGCUGUUACGGUACUUAACCAGAAAGGGACGGCUAACUACGUGCCAUCAGCCGCUGUAAUACGUAGGUCCCGAGCCUUGUCCGGAUUUAUUGGGCGUAAAGCGAGCGCUGGCGGUUAGAAAAGUCUGAAGUGAAAGGGAGUGGAUAAACCAGUGUAGGCUUUGGAAACUGUUGAAAUUGAGUGCAGAAGGGGAGAGUGGAAUUCCAUGUGUAGCGGUGAAAAGCGUAGAGAUAUGGAGGAACACCGGUGGCGAAAGCGGCUCUCUGGUCUGUAACUGACGCUGAGGCUCGAAAGCGUGGGGAGCGAACAGG